UACGGGGGGGAGCAAGCGUUAAUCGGAAUUACUGGGCGUAAAGCGCGCGUAGGCGGCUUUUCAAGUCGGAUGUGAAAUCCCCGGGCUUAACCUGGGAACUGCAUUCGAGACUGUCUAGCUAGAGUAUGGGAGAGGGAAGUGGAAUUUCAGGUGUAGCGGUGAAAUGCGUAGAUAUCUGAAGGAACAUCAGUGGCGAAAGCGACUUCCUGGACCAAUACUGACGCUCAUGUGCGAAAGCGUGGGGAGCAAACAGG
rnacentral:rRNA from 1 species